CCUACGGGAGGCAGCAGUGAGGAAUAUUGGUCAAUGGACGCAAGUCUGAACCAGCCAUGCCGCGUGCAGGAAGACGGCUCUAUGAGUUGUAAACUGCUUUUGUACGAGGGUAAACUCAGAUACGCGUAUCUGUCUGAAAGUAUCGUACGAAUAAGGAUCGGCUAACUCCGUGCCAGCAGCCGCGGUAAUACGGAGGAUUCAAGCGUUAUCCGGAUUUAUUGGGUUUAAAGGGUGCGUAGGCGGUCGGAUAAGUUAGAGGUGAAAUCCCGAGGCUCAACCUCGGAAUUGCCUCUGAUACUGUUCGUCUAGAGAGUAGUUGCGGUAGGCGGAAUGUAUGGUGUAGCGGUGAAAUGCUUAGAGAUCAUACAGAACACCGAUUGCGAAGGCAGCUUACCAAGCUACUUCUGACGUUGAGGCACGAAAGCGUGGGGAGCAAACAGGAUUAGAUACCCUGGUAGUC
rnacentral:rRNA from 1 species